CAUGGCUUUUUGAUAAUAAUUUAAAGUCUGACCUGCCCAAUGAGUAUUUAAAUGGCCGCGGUAUUUUGACCGUGCAAAGGUAGCAUAAUCAUUAGUUUUUUAAUUGAAAGCUUGUAUGAAAGGUUGGAUGAGAAAAUGACUGUCUCUAUUUAAUUUUUAUAGAAUUUUAACUUUAAGUAAAAAUGCUUAAAUUUUUAUAAAAGACGAGAAGACCCUAUAGAGUUUUAUAUUUAUUUUUAUUAAAGUUUUUGGUAUUAUAAUUUUUAAUUAAAAAGAGUAUUUAGUUGGGGUGAUUGAAAAAUUUAAUAAACUUUUUUUAUAUGUAUAACAUUUAUUUAUGAAUAUAUGAUCCUUUUUUUAGAUUAUAAGAUAAAAUUACCUUAGGGAUAACAGCGUAAUUUUUUUAGAGAGUUCAAAUCGAAAAAAGAGAUUGCGACCUCGAUGUUGGAUUAAAAUUUAUUUAUGGCGUAGAAGCUAUAGUAAUUAGGUCUGUUCGACCUUUAAUAUUUUACAUGAUCUGAGUUUAAACCGGCGUGAGCCAGG
rnacentral:rRNA from 1 species